rnacentral:rRNA from 1 species
GACGAACCGUGCGAACGUUAUUCGGAAUCACUGGGCUUGAAGCGCGUGUAGGCGGGACGGCACGUCGGUCGCUGAAAGCCCCCGGCUCAACCGGGGAACGGGCGCCGAUACGACCGGCCUGGAGGGACGUAGGGGGACCUGGAACUUCCGGUGGAGCGGUGAAAUGCGUUGAGAUCGGAAGGAACGCCCGUGGCGAAAGCGAGGUCCUGGACGUUUUCUGACGCUGAGACGCGAAAGCCAGGGGAGCGAACGGG